GUAAGUUGGGUAGUUAACUUUCGGAGUUCAGUCUUUGAUUGGACAGACAAUAAAAAAUGAUUGUCGAAUUCUGAGGAAGGUCCGCCCACCGCAUAUGGUUGUUCAUGAAAGUGAAUUGUCGUGAGGCAAAGCUCUGUUACAGAAACGCCACAGCCUGCAUUGAGCUGUGAAUUUUGCGAGGAGCUAAGAAAUGCAGGAUUUGAUGAAACGAACAUCUCAACUGGUGCAACCCUAUUAGGGGCUUAGUCAAAUGUUAACACUUUCGGUUUGCUCGCGAAGAGACAACGAAAGACAGAAGGUGGCCUAUUCCCAACUUAC
rnacentral:RNase_P_RNA from 1 species